rnacentral:sRNA from 1 species
ACCGCAGCAAAUGGAGAGGUGGCAGAGUGGUCGAAUGUACUUGACUCGAAAUCAAGCGUACGUUAAAUCGUACCGUGGGUUCGAAUCCCACCCUCUCCGCCAGAACAAAUAGAGAAAGCUCCCGCAAGGGAGCUUUUUUUAUUUGUGGCGGCGAAG